rnacentral:rRNA from 1 species
AACGUAGGACACGAGCGUUAUCCGGAGUUACUGGGCGUAAAGGGCGUGCAGGCGGCGGGGUAAGUUUGGUGUGAAAGCUCCCGGCUUAACCGGGAGAGGACACUGAAGACUGCCCGGCUCGAGGCAGAUAGAGGGCUGUAGAAUUCCGGGUGUAGUGGUGAAAUGCGUAGAGAUCCGGAGGAAUACCAGAGGCGAAGGCGGCAGCCUGGGUCUGACCUGACGCUGAGACGCGACAGCAUGGGGAGCGAACGGG